CAGGAACGCAUCCAGGUGGCUUUUUAAUAUCUCUAAGGAGGGACACUCCACAAUCUCCCUGAGCAAGUCACCUUCAGUACUGGUCAGUCAUCAUCACAGGAAAGAAGUGCUUCAUGAUUCUUUGAAGGAACCUCCUACAUUUGUGCCAGGUGGAAGGGGGCAGUGAGCAAUCUGCUGUGUGGUUCAUAGCUGCUUACAAGGGUUAAACCACAACAGAUUGGUAUGAUUGAGGAUUCCGGCCCUAGAAUGCUAGGGCAAGUAAAGGCUGGGGAUGAAAGAGAGGUGCAGUCAAUCUGAGGUCCAUUUAAAAUCAGCACAUUUUAAAAUCCACUAUUCUAAUUAUAACGAUGAUUUCUGUGAUGUGGAUCCUUAUCUCCAGAUAGUUUCACAGCAGGAAAGCAAAGAUUUUCUGACACUAAUGUUCUAAUCGACUUUCAGGCAAAUAGUAGAGGUUUUGAAGAGGCAUGACAAAUCCUUUUACUGGCUUCUGUAUUCUGAAUACAGAGCAUAGAAAAAUCAUUUAUCAUAUUUUUAAAAUUCUAUUUAUUCAGGCUGUAUUUAUUGAAAACAGUCUUUCCUACAUGCAAGUCUUGCC